CCCCCCCCCCCCCCCCCCCCCCCCCCCCCCCCCCCCCCCCCCCCCCCCCCCCCCCCCCCCCCCCCCCCCCCCCCCCCCCCCCCCCCCGCCGCCGGGCCGGGCCGCGCCGGCUCCUUCCCCGCGAGGGCGGCGGCGGAGCGGGGAGAGGCCGCGGCUUUGCCCCAGAACUCACGGCGCAGUGCUGGGGACGGCGCUUUAGAAGCCGGAUUUGUGAAUAGGGCCGGAUAAGUGGACUCGCAGCCCCGCGCAUGUCGAGAUUGCAGAUGUUCGCAAACAUUACGCGUCCACAGCCUUGCCCGUGUUAAACAUCUACUGAAUGCACAGGACAGGCACCACUUUCUUCCUGAAGCUUUUGGAUUGGAAUAUGGGUAUCUUCAAUGUAUGGAAUCUAGUUCUGUUACUCAUUCUGUCUAUUAUUUUCAAUUAAUUCUUGUCCUAAGCAAUGAGGCUUUUGCUGUGGCAGAAAGCCCAAGUAUCGAUAUUAGGACAGUCUGUGCCUGAGAUCAUGAGAAAGGAGAUGACUGUUUUACAUUCCUAUGCUGCAAACACCAAAAUCUGACCGUAAGUUUUGCUGCUUUUUUUCAAGCCCUAGUUACUAUUGGCGUGAUUCAUUUUUUGUUUUAUAAUAGUACCCAGAUGUCCCAAUCAGGGUCCUGCUGUGUUCAACACCAUAGAAACAUA
rnacentral:lncRNA from 12 species